GGGGGUGUACCGGCUUCGACAGUCAGUUUGAGGCGGGGUAAGCAUGCCGCAGGCUCGUCUGCGUUAAAAUCGGAAAUAAAAAUUAAACGCGAAAAGCAAUCAAAAGAGCUCCUCUAUGGAGUUCGCCCUCGCUGCAUAAUUUAGUCAGCGUGUCGCCGUCGGGUUUUCUGUUCCCCGGCCAAGCGGCAUCAUAAAAACAGACAACGCAAUCCCAUCGCCCGGUAAGAUUGCUGUUUCACGGGCUCGUCAAUCCGAGGUUCGCCCACGUACCGAAGUGCGAUACAAUCAAACGUAGGAUAAGCAUGUAGAAAGCACCGCUAACGGUUGAUUGGACCGGGGUUCGACUCCCCGCACCUCCACCA
rnacentral:tmRNA from 1 species